AUGUAUGUAUGUAUGUAUGUAUGCAUGCAUGCAUGUAUGCAUCCAUGUGUAGCACGUGUGUGUUGUG
rnacentral:miRNA from 14 species